rnacentral:rRNA from 1 species
AACGAACGCUGGCGGCAUGCCUAACACAUGCAAGUCGAACGAGACCUUCGGGUCUAGUGGCGCACGGGUGCGUAACGCGCGGGAACCUGCCCUUAGGUUCGGAAUAACUCCCCGAAAGGGGUGCUAAUACCGGAUAAUGUCUUCGGACCAAAGAUUUAUCGCCUUUGGAUGGGCCCGCGUUGGAUUAGCUAGUUGGUAGGGUAAAAGCCUACCAAGGCGACGAUCCAUAGCUGGUCUGAGAGGAUGAUCAGCCACACUGGGACUGAGACACGGCCCAGACUCCUACGGGAGGCAGCAGUGGGGAAUAUUGGACAAUGGGCGAAAGCCUGAUCCAGCAAUGCCGCGUGAGUGAUGAAGGCCUUAGGGUUGUAAAGCUCUUUUACCCGGGAUGAUAAUGACAGUACCAGGAGAAUAAGCUCCGGCUAACUCCGUG